AACGUAGGUGGCAAGCGUUAUCCGGAUUCACUGGGCGUAAAGGGCUCGCAGGCGGCAUGUCAGGUCGAGUGUGAAAUCUCCUGGCCCAACUGGGAGGGUGCGCUCGAAACCGGCAGGCUUGAGGGACAGAGAGGGGCAUGGAAUUCCCGAAGUAGCGGUAAAAUGCGUUGAUAUCGGGAGGAACACCAGUGGCGAAAGCGAUGCCCUGGCUGAGACCUGACGCUGAGGAGCGAAAGCGUGGGGAGCGAACGGG
rnacentral:rRNA from 1 species